rnacentral:rRNA from 1 species
GACGAACCGAGCGAACGUUGUUCGGAAUCACUGGGCUUAAAGGGCGCGUAGGCGGGCUGUCAAGUCUGGGGUGAAAUCCCGCGGCUCAACCGUGGAACUGCCUUAGAUACUGACGGCCUCGAGGGAGAUAGGGGCGAGCGGAACUGUGAGUGGAGCGGUGAAAUGCGUUGAUAUUCACAGGAACUCCGGUGGCGAAGGCGGCUCGCUGGAUCUUUUCUGACGCUGGGGCGCGAAAGCUAGGGGAGCAAACGGG